rfam:Cellulophaga lytica DSM 7489, complete genome.
ACUCAACAUUAAUUUGUUUUUAAAGGGUGAGUUUAGUUUGUAAAAGCAGGCCUUACUAGUAUAAGGAUCCUUGAUCAUGCUGUUAGCCCUAAUCCUGUUUUAUAGGAGUUU